CUUUAUCGGAGAGUUUGAUCCUGGCUCAGGACGAACGCUGGCGGCGUGCCUAAUACAUGCAAGUCGAGCGGACAGAUGGGAGCUUGCUCCCUGAUGUUAGCGGCGGACGGGUGAGUAACACGUGGGUAACCUGCCUGUAAGACUGGGAUAACUCCGGGAAACCGGGGCUAAUACCGGAUG
rnacentral:rRNA from 1 species